rnacentral:rRNA from 1 species
AUGACGGCGGUGGCGCCGAAGGUCGAGAAGGAGGAGGAGCAGGUGGUGAACCCGUGGGAGGUGUCGGCCGGUAAGGGCGGCAUCGGCUACGACAAGCUUGUCGACCAGUUCGGCUGCCAGCGCCUGGACGCAGCGACCAUCGACCGCGUCGCGCGCCUCACUGGUCGCCCCCCGCAUCGCUUCCUCCGCCGCGGUCUCUUCUUCGCCCACCGGGAUUUCAACGAGAUCCUUGACCUGUACGAGAAAGGCGAGAAGUUCUACCUAUACACGGGGAGGGGCCCCUCGUCGGAGUCCCUGCACCUCGGCCACCUCGUCCCCUUCAUGUUCACCAAAUAUUUGCAGGAUGCUUUUAAGGUGCCACUGGUAAUACAGCUCACUGAUGAUGAGAAGUUCCUGUGGAAGAAUUUGACUGUUAACGAAAGCAAAAGGCUUGCACGUGAAAAUGCAAAAGACAUCAUAGCAUGUGGUUUUGAUGUUGAAAAGACUUUCAUGUUCUCUGAUUUUAAUUUUGUUGGAGGUGCCUUUUAUGAAAACAUGGUUAAAGUUGCCAGAUGUGUGACAUAUAAUAAGGUUGUAGGAAUAUUUGGAUUCAGUCAAGAGGAUCACAUACGAAAGAUUAGCUUUCCUCCUGUGCAAGCAGUUCCGUCAUUCCCUUCUUCAUUUCCCCAUCUCUUCUCUGGCAUGGAACAACUACGUUGCCUGAUCCCAUGUGCAAUAGACCAGGAUCCUUAUUUCAGGAUGACCCGUGACGUUGCCCCUAGAAUUGGUUGUCAAAAGCCAUCACUGACUGAAUCCAGAUUUUUCCCUGCUCUUCAGGGGGAGAGCACGAAAAUGUCAGCUAGUGAUCCAAAUUCUGCGAUAUAUGUGACAGAUAGUGAAGAAGAAAUAAAGAAGGUGAACAAAUAUGCUUUCUCAGGUGGCCAAGACUCAGCGGAACUCCAAAGAGAGCUUGGAGCUAACCUUGAGGUGGAUGUCCCGGUUAAGUACCUGAACUUCUUCCUUGAAGACGACGAUGAUCUCGAGCAGAUAAAGAAGGGUUACGGGGAUGGAAACCUGCUAACUGGUAAAGUGAAGAAUCUUCUUGGUGACGUUCUAUCUGAGCUGGUUAAAAGACAUACGAGAGCUAGAGCUCAAGUGACAGGAGAUGGUUGA